GGUUAACGAGGCGAACCGGGGGAACUGAAACAUCUAAGUACCCCGAGGAAAAGAAAUCAACCGAGAUUCCCCCAGUAGCGGCGAGCGAACGGGGAGCAGCCCGGAGUCUGAAUCAGCUUGUGUGUUAGUGGAACGGUCUGGAAAGUCCGACGGUACAGGGUGAUAGUCCCGUACACGAAAGCACACUUGCUGUGAACUCGAAGAGUAGGGCGGGACACGUGGUAUCCUGUCUGAAUAUGGGGGGACCAUCCUCCAAGGCUAAAUACUCCUGACUGACCGAUAGUGAACCAGUACCGUGAGGGAAAGGCGAAAAGAACCCCGGCGAGGGGAGUGAAAAAGAACCUGAAACCGUGUACGUACAAGCAGUGGGAGCCUCUUUAUGGGGUGACUGCGUACCUUUUGUAUAAUGGGUCAGCGACUUAUAUUCUGUAGCAAGGUUAACCGUAUAGGGGAGCCGAAGGGAAACCGAGUCUUAACUGGGCGUUAAGUUGCAGGGUAUAGACCCGAAACCCGGUGAUCUAGCCAUGGGCAGGUUGAAGGUUGGGUAACACUAACUGGAGGACCGAACCGACUAAUGUUGAAAAAUUAGCGGAUGACCUGUGGCUGGGGGUGAAAGGCCAAUCAAACCGGGAGAUAGCUGGUUCUCCCCGAAAGCUAUUUAGGUAGCGCCUCGUGAACUCAUCUUCGGGGGUAGAGCACUGUUUCGGCUAGGGGGCCAUCCCGGCUUACCAACCCGAUGCAAACUACGAAUACCGAAGAAUGUUAUCACGGGAGACACACGGCGGGUGCUAACGUCCGUCGUGAAGAGGGAAACAACCCAGACCGCCAGCUAAGGUCCCAAAGUCAUGGUUAAGUGGGAAACGAUGUGGGAAGGCACAGACAGCCAGGAUGUUGGCUUAGAAGCAGCCAUCAUUUAAAGAAAGCGUAAUAGCUCACUGGUCGAGUCGGCCUGCGCGGAAGAUGUAACGGGGCUAAACCAUGCACCGAAGCUGCGGCAGCGACGCUUA
rnacentral:rRNA from 1 species